rnacentral:rRNA from 1 species
UAAUACCGGAUACCCACUACUGGUCGCAUGGCCGGCUGUGGAAAGAACUUCGCUUCGGGAGGGUCUCGCGGCCUAUCAGCUUGUUGGUGGGGUAACGGCCCACCAAGGCAUCGACGGGUAGCUGGUCUGAGAGGACGAUCAGCCACACUGGGACUGAGACACGGCCCAGACUCCUACGGGAGGCAGCAGUGGGGAAUCUUGCGCAAUGGGCGAAAGCCUGACGCAGCAACGCCGCGUGCGGGAUGAAGGCCUUCGGGUUGUAAACCGCUUUCAGUAGGGACGAAAUUGACGGUACCUACAGAGGAAGCCCCGGCCAACUACGUGCCAGCAGCCGCGGUAACACGUAGGGGGCGAGCGUUGUCCGGAUUUAUUGGGCGUAAAGAGCUCGUAGGCGGCUCGG